rnacentral:rRNA from 1 species
UACGUAGGUGGCAAGCGUUGUCCGGAUUUAUUGGGGUUAAAGGGUGCGUAGGCGGUCUAUUAAGUCAGUUGUGAAAUACGGCAGCUCAACUGUCGAGGUGCAAUUGAUACUGAUGGACUUGAGUACUGAUGAGGUAAGCGGAAUGGACGGUGUAGCGGUGAAAUGCUUAGAUAUCGUCCAGAACACCGAUAGCGAAGGCAGCUUACUAAGGAGUAACUGACGCUGAGGCACGAAAGUGUGGGGAGCAAACGGG